UUGGUGUAAAGAUGGGUAGUCCACCUGUGUGGUGAGGUACAAAAUACUGAGUGUAUUGUACCUAGGGCAUGGCCCUAAAGGAAAGCCAGUUUGGAAACCCGAAAUGUCGAACCAGGACCAAGGUAUGCGGUCGACGACGGUUUCUCUAAGAUGUCGACGUCGCAGUUAGGAGCAGACAGAGAUGACAUAAAAUUGAGGUUCCCUUGCAUUUAUUGUCAGCUGUUUGUUACUUUCAUUGCGACGGUGAAGAGUGACGAGAGGAUCUCGGAAAUGAUGAGAGCGAUCUCUGAGUUGAUCUGUGUUUUGUGGUCUCCUGCUGACUCCAUGAAUGAUUGCGUAGACUAUGCCCAACAGAAGACAUCUCUGCUUCAUUCUAUGAUCAAUGGCUUUAUGGUUGAAUGUGGCACUGUGUGCGAUGGCGAAGGAGCGGAUGAACAGCUUGCUGUCCUGGGACGCAUGCUCCAGGAGGUGAAUCGGGCUUCCCAGGAAGUACCCACCACAGAAAAACCAGACAUAGCCAGCUUGGCAAUCAACUGAAUUUAUAAAUUGUCUUUCUUUGUUUUUAUUGCGUAUUAAGACUUCAAAAGAAGAAAGAAAAGUCGCAAAGGUUUUUACUAUGCGCUUACACAGUUUUGUUGGUGCCAAUCAUUAACUUCGGCCACAUACAGUAUUCUUUAAGUCUGUUUAAAGCGAGCAGAAUCUAAUAGCGUAUCCAGUGAAAGGCGGGAAACGUUACUAAGAAUUCAGAAAGGGUGUAACAUUUUUGGUUUUUUUAGAGAUGUAAAAGACGGCACCUGAUUUGCAUUUGAUUAAACGCUUCAAGCUUUCGUAGUGUUAAAACAUCGCUGUGAUAUUUGUAAUACACGUAUAUGUAUCUAUUGAAGCUAUUCACUGACACGGUCACAGCUUACUGGAAUGCAUCUGUCGAGGAGAACCAGAUUUCCCAAACUUACCAGAGAGCUGAAUUUAUAAAUUGCCUUUUUUCAAGUCACAGUGGUUGGUAGCAUGCCCUCGUAUAAUUAUGUUUGUUCCAAUCAUAUUAGUUUCGGUUUUUAAAGCAUUAACUUUCUUCAAGUCCUUUUGAAGUGAUCGAAAUGCAGUGGCGUUUCCUGACGAAGACCCGGAAAAGUUGCCGAGGCUUUAAAAGGGAUACUAUCACUUUCCUUUCAGGGAUGUACUGAUUCUGUUAUGGAUGAAAAGUCGGCAAUUCUUUCAAGAACCGUGCAUUCCCCGACUUGAACCCUGGAUACCCCUCUGCCCUUGUAUAUAUCUACCAUAUUGUUUCAACAACUCUCAACUUUAUUUUAACUGAGACAUGCAAACCACACGAUUUGAAAGUAAUCCUUUUUUAUAUACAUAUAAAAACAAAAAUGUAUCAAGUUCAAACAGCUACUGCAAAUUUAAUUGAGGUAAAUCCGCGACAUGAACAUUUUAUUCAGGGUAGGCACUUGACUCGCGUUUGUUAAUUUACUACCGGUACUUCUAGCUUUCACAUUAUUAAAAACACCGCUAAGCAAAUAAUAUGUUUUUCAGUAUUUGUCUUUUGAAGCUAUAUUAUUCUGACAAAGGAAGCCAAGACGUUCUGUUAAGUGCGACUACAGCUAUUAAGUCGCAGGAAUCAGUCAGGCAGCGAGACUUCUUGGAAAGGGGUUUAAAAAAAACUUUGCCAGGUUUGUUCUGUGUUCCCCUAACCGAAGGAGCAAGGGUAUAGAUCCUGAAUGUCACGGGAUCCUGUACUUGGACAGACGACACAUAAUUGUGGUGUGGUCUGUGGAAACCUUUCACAUAGUGAGCUAUGUCAUUUUGGUGCAUCGACUUCAAAUUAACCUGCACACUGUCCUGUUUUCAGAACCGUUUAAUUCGUAAUUCUAGACAACCCAAUCGCUAAGAUUCAUAUUGUAGACAACCAAGAAUCAUAAAUUUAAUAUAGGCCUAUCUAAAAAAUCGAGUGUGUCCAGGUUUAUUUGAAGUAUAUAUGCACCCAAACGACAAAGCUCACCAUGUGAAUCACAUCACAAUUUUCAGACGGGGUGGUCAUUUAUUCUAGAACAACUUCUUUUACAACUUGAAUCAAACUUUAAAGGAGGCUGCUAUAUACCACAUUGCUAGGCAGUAGCUCCUAUCAUCACCGACAUCUCCCACCUUGUUUUUCAAACCGAAAACAAUGAGUAUACGCUGUAAUCUUGUUUUACAGUUUGCGUAAAAGCGAAAAAAUUCAGUCAAUCGGUUCAUUUAAAGACUUGACUUGGAAGCUUUCAUAUCUACUAAUUUCUGUGAUAAAAUGCUUAUCGUAUUCAAUAAAAAUGGCUGUAAACCAGGAA
rnacentral:misc_RNA from 1 species